AUCCCUGGCUACAGAACGAACGCUGGCCGGCAGGCCCUAAACACAGUGCAAGUCGAGCGAUCCCUUCGGGGAUAGCCGGCGGACGGGUGAGUAACGCCGUGGGAACGUACCCUUUGCUACGGAAUAGCCUCGGGAAACUGGGAGUAAUACCGUAUGUGCCCUUCGGGGGAAAGAUUUAUCGGCAAAGGAUCGGCCCCGCGUUGGAUUAGGUAGUUGGUGGGGUAAUGGCCUACCCAAGCCUACGAUCCAUAGCUGGUUUGAGAGGAUGAUCAGCCACACUCGGGACUGAGACACGGCCCCAGACUCCUACGGGAGGCAGCAGUGGGGAAUCCUUAGACAAUGGGGGCAACCCUGAUCUAGCCAUGCCGCGUGAGUGAUGAAGGCCUUAGGGUUGUAAAGCUCUUUCAGCUGGGAAGAUAAUGACGGUACCAGCAGAAGAAGCCCCCGGCUAACUCCGUG
rnacentral:rRNA from 1 species